CCCUUAGAUGUCCGGGGCUGCACGCGCGCUACACUGAAGGAAUCAGCGUGCUAAAACCAUUGUCGAAAGGCAUUGGUAAACCCAUUAAAAUCCUACGUGAUUGGGAUCGGGAAUUGCAAUUAUUUCCCUUGAACGAGGAAUUCCCAGUAAGUGUGGGUCAUAAGCUCGCGUUGAUUACGUCCCUGCCCUUUGUACACACCGCCCGUCGCUGCCCGGGACUGAGCCGUUUCGAGAAAAGCGGGGACUGCCGCUGUCGGGGCUUUCGGGCCUUGGCUUCGGUGGAAACCGCUUUAAUCGCAGUGGCUUGAACCGGGCAAAAGUCGUANCA
rnacentral:rRNA from 1 species